GAUUUCUGGUUUGAUACAGUUUACCGGCCACGGUUUCGUGUGUUAGUGUUUUCUGUUCUGACCAUCCUUCCAAUCGCUGCUCACUUUUCUUCAUUGAUUUGUGUGUGGUAUUGGAUCUUUUACUUUGAAAAAAUUAGAGUGUUUCAAGCAGGCUUUAUGCUAUGAAUACAUUAGCAUGGAAUAAUAAUUUAGGACUUCGGUUCUAUUUUGUUGGUUUCUAGGACUGAAGUAAUGAUUGAUAGGGAUAGUUGGGGGUGCUAGUAUUCAGCGGCCAGAGGUGAAAUUCUCGGAUUCGCUGAAGACUAACUUAUGCGAAAGCAUU
rnacentral:rRNA from 2 species